AUUUAUUCAACCCCCUUCAUAAACUCCAGGAACUCUGCCAAGAGGAAGACAUUGGAGACAAGAGGUGUGAGGUGAAACCAAAGUGCCCUCGCAGCUGCCAAGUGUGCUCUUGGCAGUUUUCCCCAGCCCUGUCUCCUUUUCCAACCCCCCAACAUGCAAGAGGCCGAGGGUGGAUGGCUACUGCUCCUCUGACUGUGGCAAGGACUCCUCGUGACUCCUGCUGGAAAUGUCACUGGAGCCCUGCGCCACCCUCAGCUGCCACCAAAACACUGAGGGUACUGCUUAUCUAAAAUUGCUGACCACCACCAUGUCCAACUGCCCCUUUGGCAGCAUCCAUGAAAACACUGACUCUUCCUUCCUAUGCUGGUCAACAGCCUCUCUGGAGCCAGCCAGGGACAGGUUUCUCUGGCUGAAGUGUGGGAAGGCAAGCUCUGAGCUCAGAGGUCACAGCACUGCAGCAGCCGUGGUAACA